AGCACUAUUUUUAAACCUGUUGGUGGAAUUUCCUGACCACCGUGGGUUACGCUGUAGUGCUAAAGAAUCUCCUGGUUCUUUAGAGCACAGCUGACCUUGUUCUUUGCUCCGUUCAGCUGAUGCUCCUCUGUAGCUAAGGAACAGAA
rnacentral:snoRNA from 1 species